AGCGGCGGAUGGGUGAGUAACACGUGGGGAACCUGCCCCUAAGUCUGGGAUACCAUUUGGAAACAGGUGCUAAUACCGGAUAAUAAAGCAGAUCGCAUGAUCAGCUUUUGAAAGGCGGCGUAAGCUGUCGCUAAGGGAUGGCCCCGCGGUGCAUUAGCUAGUUGGUAAGGUAACGGCUUACCAAGGCGACGAUGCAUAGCCGAGUUGAGAGACUGAUCGGCCACAUUGGGACUGAGACACGGCCCAAACUCCUACGGGAGGCAGCAGUAGGGAAUCUUCCACAAUGGACGCAAGUCUGAUGGAGCAACGCCGCGCGAGUGAAGAAGGUUUUCGGAUCGUAAAGCUCUGUUGUUGGUGAAGAAGGAUAGAGGUAGUAACUGGCCUUUAUUUGACGGUAAUCAACCAGAAAGUCACGGCUAACUACGUGCCAGCAGCCGCGGUAAUACGUAGGUGGCAAGCGUUGUCCGGAUUUAUUGGGCGUAAAGCGAGCGCAGGCGGAAAAAUAAGUCUAAUGUGAAAGCCCUCGGCUUAACCGAGGAACUGCAUCGGAAACUGUUUUUCUUGAGUGCAGAAGAGGAGAGUGGAACUCCAUGUGUAGCGGUGGAAUGCGUAGAUAUAUGGAAGAACACCAGUGGCGAAAGGCGGCUCUCUGGUCUGCAACUGACGCUGAGGCUCGAAAGCAUGGGUAGCGAACAGGAUUAGAUACUCCUGGUAGUCCAUGCCGUAAACGAUGAGUGCUAAGUGU
rnacentral:rRNA from 1 species